AUUGAACGCUGGCGGCAGGCCUAACACAUGCAAGUCGAACGAGUGGCGGACGGGUGAGUAAUGCUUGGGAACCUAGCUUAUGGAGGGGGAUAACUACGGGAAACUGUAGCUAAUACCGCGUACCAUAGGAUGAGCCCAAGUGGGAUUAGGUAGUUGGUGGGGUAAAGGCUCACCAAUCCGACGAUCCCUAGCUGGUCUGAGAGGAUGACCAGCCACACGGGGACUGAGACACGGCCCAGACUCCUACGGGAGGCAGCAGUGGGGAAUAUUGCGCAAUGGGGGCAACCUGACCGAGCCAGGCCGCGUGAAUGAAGAAGGCCUUCGGGUUGUAAAGUUCUUUCGGUAGAGAGGCGUUACCUACAGAAGAAGCACCGGCUAACUCCGUGCCAGCAGCCGCGGUAAUUC
rnacentral:rRNA from 1 species